rnacentral:rRNA from 1 species
UACGGAAGGCAGCAGUGGGGAAUAUUGCACAAUGGGCGAAAGCCUGAUGCAGCUAUGCCGCGUGUAUGAAGAAGGCCUUAGGGUUGUAAAGUACUUUCAUCGGGGAGGAAAAAACAAAACUAAUAAUUUUAUUUCUUGACGUUACCCGAAAAAGAAGCACCGGCUAACUCCGUGCCAGCAGCCGCGGUAAUACGGAGGGUGCUAGCGUUAAUCAGAAUUACUGGGCGUAAAGAGCACGUAGGUGGUUUUUUUAAGUCAGAUGUGAAAUCCCUGGGCUUAACCUAGGAACUGCAUUUUGAAACUGAAAUACUAGAGUAUCGUAGAGGGAGGUAGAAUUCUAGGUGUAGCGGUGAAAUGCGUAGAUAUCUGGAGGAAUACCUGUGGCGAAAGCGGCCUCCUAAACGAAUACUGACACUGAGGGUGCGAAAGCGUGGGGAGCAAACAGGGAUUAGAUAC